rnacentral:lncRNA from 1 species
GUCGUCUUCUAAAACCUGUAACUCAGCACGUAGGCUAGCCUGCUUAGCUAAAAGCUCAGCUAUGAUAUUGGGAUCAUCUUCUUCAUCGCUGCUCUCGUACUGUCCUGCACGACGCUUGAUUGACGGCUGUGCCAAGUGCCUCCUGAUCCUAGGGAGAGUACUAGACGAUUCCAUCUUCUUGGCCUUGCCACCCAUCUUGCUGCUAGCAUGAUUGCCUUGCC